rnacentral:rRNA from 1 species
CCUACGGUGUCAGCAGUGGGGAAUAUUGGACAAUGGGCGAAAGCCUGAUCCAGCCAUGCCGCGUGUGUGAAGAAGGCCUUCGGGUUGUAAAGCACUUUCAGUGGGGAAGAAAGCCUUGGGGCUAAUACCCUCGAGGAAGGACAUCACCCACAGAAGAAGCACCGGCUAACUCCGUGCCAGCAGCCGCGGUAAUACGGAGGGUGCGAGCGUUAAUCGGAAUUACUGGGCGUAAAGCGCGCGUAGGCGGUCUGAUAAGCCGGUUGUGAAAGCCCCGGGCUCAACCUGGGAACGGCAUCCGGAACUGUCAGGCUAGAGUGCAGGAGAGGAAGGUAGAAUUCCCGGUGUAGCGGUGAAAUGCGUAGAGAUCGGGAGGAAUACCAGUGGCGAAGGCGGCCUUCUGGACUGACACUGACGCUGAGGUGCGAAAGCGUGGGUAGCAAACAGGAUUAGAUACCCGUGUAGUC